UUAACUGGAAAAUAGGAGAUUACACUUAGUAGAAUAUGAAAACACGCACACACAAACAAACAGAUAAGCUGUUCUUAGAGAGCACCAUAAUUUGAUUGAUUUCUAAAUCAACCCUUUUUGUUAAUGUAGGAAAGCAUGAUGUAGCCUCUCAUAUUAUAAUUAGAAGAAUAUUAAAGUUAUUCCCAUAAAGGCAAUUGACAUGCUAAACAUGAAUCAUUAAAAAAAAUGCAGAUAUAGAGUACUUUCAAGUAUGUGAACCACCAACUAAUAAGUGCAAGAAGAAACCUACUGUCAGCAGGUUCUGUUGACAAUAAAUUUGCGACAUGUGCUGCUGCAGCAUCCAAACCCUCUACAUCGUCAGGAGCAUCUUCUGAAAGGUCUCCCACAUCAAACCAUGCUGUGGAUGGGAAGCCUCCAAAUACAGUUAUAGGUUGAGUUGGAGCAGUUGGACAUAUCCAUUUAAUAUUUGGAAGAGGA
rnacentral:misc_RNA from 1 species